AAGUCAAGUUUAGAAGGGCAUACGGCGGAUGCCUAGGCGUUUCGAAACGAAGAAGGACGCGAUAAGCUGCGAUAAGCCGUGGUUAGCUGCAAGUAAGCAUUGAUCCACGGAUUUCCGAAUGGGGCAACCCGGCAAGAGUAACGUCUUGUCACCUUAUCUACGAGAUAAGGAGAAAACACCCGAUGAACUGAAACAUCUAAGUAGUCGGAGGAAAAGAAAUCAAAGAGAUUCCCUGAGUAGCGGCGAGCGAAACGGGAGGAGCCCAAACCUGAGGACUUCGGUUCUUGGGGGUUGCGGACCUGCAACAAGACAUAAGCUUUAGUGGAAGCAUCUGGGAAGGUGCGGCGAAGAGAGUGAGACCCUCGUACACGAAAGAGUGAAAGGCGGGCAGGGAUCCAGAGUACCACAGGGCACGAGGAACCCGGUGGGAAGCAGGGUGGACCACCAUCCAAGGCUAAAUACAUCGAAACGACCGAUAGCGAUGAGUACCGUGAGGGAAAGGUGAAAAGAACCCCGGGAGGGGAGUGCAAUAGAACCUGAAACCGUAUGUCUACAAACAGUCGGAGCACUUUAGAUGUGCGACGGCGUGCCUAUUGAAGAAUGAACCGGCGAGUUAAUUUAUGCUGCGAGGUUAAGCGGGAGACGCGGAGCCGAAGCGAAAGCGAGUCUUAAGAGGGCGGCAGUAGCAUGGAUUAGACCCGAAACCACAGUGAUCUAUGCAUGUCCAGGUUGAAGCUCAGGUAAAAAUGAGUGGAGGACCGAACCCGUGCGUGUUGAAAAACGUUGGGAUGAGGUGUGCAUAGGGGUGAAAUGCCAAUCGAACGUGGAGAUAGCUGGUUCUCCCCGAAAUAGCUUUAGGGCUAGCCUCAGGCGAAUAACCAUAGAGACGGUAGAGCACUGAUCGGGCAAGGGGGCGUAAAGCCUACCGACCCCAGUCAAACUACGAAUGGCUCAUAUGGGCAGCCUGGGAGUCAGAAUGCGAGUGAUAAGACCCGUAUUCAAGAGGGAAACAGCCCAGACCGCCGGCUAAGGUCCCAAAUGCUGUGCUAAGUGGAGAAGGAUGUAGGACUUCGAAAACAACCAGGAUGUUGGCUCAGAAGCAGCCACCAUUAAAAGAGUGCGUAAUAGCUCACUGGUCGAGAGGCCCUGCGCCGAAAAUAUCCGGGGCUCAAGCACAGAACCGAAGCCGCGGCAGGGUGUACUAAGGUACACACUGGGUAGGGGAGCGUUCUUAUCUGGACGAAGGCAGACCGGAAGGACUGCUGGACGGGUAAGAAGUGAGAAUGCCGGUAUGAGUAGCGAAACGACAGGUGAGAAUCCUGUCCACCGAAAGCCUAAGGAAUCCCGGGCAACGCUCGUCGUCCCGGGGUAAGUCGGGACCUAAGCCGAGGCGAAAAGCAUAGGCGAUGGACAACUGGCGAAAAUUCCAGUACCGGGCGUCUUCGUUUAAGGAUGGAGUGACGCAGGAAGGAAGCUGAGCGCGCGAAUGGUUGGGCGCGUCGAAGGCGGUAGGCUUGUAUGGAGGCAAAUCCCCAUACUAUAAGGCCGAGAACCGAUAGAUAGGAAAGACUACGGUCAAUCUGAAUUCAGCUGCACUACACUGCCAAGAAAAGCUUCUAACGAGAAGACGUCCGCCCGUACCAAAACCGACACAGGUAGGCGGGGAGAGAAUCCUAAGGUGCGCGGGAAAACCCUCGUUAAGGAACUCG
rnacentral:rRNA from 1 species